ensembl:lncRNA
GUGGUGUUGGAGAAGACUCUUGAGAGUCCCUUGGACUGCAAGGAGAUCCAACCAGUCCAUCCUAAAGGAAAUCAGUCCUGGGUGUUCAUUGGAAGGACUGAUGCUGAAGCUGAAACUCCAAUACUUUGGCCACCUGAUGCGAAGAGCUGACUCAUUUGAAAAGACCCUGAUGUUGGGAAAGAUUGAAGGCAGGAGGAAAAGGGGAUGACAGAGGAUGAGAUGGUUGGAUGGCAUCACCGACUCAAUGGACAUGGGUUUGGGUAAACUCCAGGAAUUGGUGAUGGACAGGGAGGCCUGGCGAGUUGCAAAGAGUUGGACACGACUGAGCGACUGAACUGAACUGAACUUAAAACCCACCAACACCAAGAAAAGGGAUUCAACUGGACCGCGGAGAUACCUUGGGCAGCCCUGAAAUUAUGCGAUUUGAGGACACGCUGUCAACUCUUAUCCCGAGAUCACGCCGUAGAGCCAGACUGCUUCUCCAGUUCUGAACUGGCCCGGACCCGGGCGGUGGUGGCCAGGUGUUGGGAGCUGGGCAAGGCAAGCCAGACCGCCCGAAGGACCUUCGAUCAGGCAUCCCCUCCAGCUCGGCGCAACCCCGCAGGCAACAGACGUGCCAGGUGAAGGAAGAGAAGAGCAGAGGCAACAGUAAUUCAGUUUCACUGCACUGUUUCCCCAGAUCCGACAGGCACAAGUGAUUGGUCUCCCUGCCUCUCUCUUUCGGGGCUGCUAAGCUAGCUGCGUUCUGCCGGAAAAACACAUCGCCCAGACCGAGCGCAGCGUUUGGAGACCUCGGAAUUACCCCCCGACCUGGGCCCGAUAGCACAGGCAGCAGGGCGAGGGACACGGGAGCGCGGCAUCGCCGAGUGGCUCUAUGAAGCGCGGGACCCUGGGCGCUCGCGGUUGAGCCCGGGUCCCAAGGACAGGGCAGAGGUGGGAGGACCCGGGCUUACGGGAGCACAGCCGCUCCUGCAAGCACCCCCCGCAAACCCAGUCCUCGCUGCCGCUUAGCCCCAUCAAGGUGCGCCUCCUCGGUGCGGAGUCCCACCUACCUCCCGCCACCCCGCUGACCUCAUAAACAACUUCGCUAACCGCAGAGGGCGGAGGCGGGGCGGGCGGGCCGCUGCUGAGCCGACCGCGGGGGCAGCGGGGCGGGCCGGGGUCAGGGCACAGGCUGCGGCCGCGCCUCCCGAUUGGCCGGGACGCCGUGGGCUGCCC